GAGGGUAUAGCUCAGUGGGAGAGCACGUGCUUAGCAUGCACGAUGUCCUGGGUUCAAUCUCCAGUACCUCCA
rnacentral:tRNA from 1 species